rnacentral:rRNA from 1 species
CCUUCACCAGCCGGCGACCGGCGCACGGGUGAGUAACACGUAUGCAACCUGCCCCUGUCAGGGGGACAACCCGCCGAAAGGCGGGCUAAACCCGCGUACAUGCCACCGGGGCAUCCCGGAGGCAGGAAAGGCUUCGGCCGGACAGGGAUGGGCAUGCGGCGCAUUAGGCAGUAGGCGGGGUAACGGCCCACCUAACCGACGAUGCGUAGGGGUUCUGAGAGGAAGGUCCCCCACACUGGUACUGAGACACGGACCAGACUCCUACGGGAGGCAGCAG